AUCGCUUCUCGACUCUCUGAGCUGAGAUCAUGUGUAGUAUCUUUUCUUUGCAGUGUAAUUUCUGCAAAGGUCUCUAAACUGAGACCAAUAAAUUCUAUCAUUUCUGUUACAUUCUGUGCAAACAUUU
rnacentral:snRNA from 1 species